rnacentral:tRNA from 1 species
GCGAACGUGGCCGAAAGGAUCAGGCGCGAGAUUGUGGCUCUCGUCAAUGCAGGUUCGAGUCCUGUCGUUCGCC